AGGGGGCUGGUGACUAUCCAAUUGGGAGGAAGCUCCGCCCACCCAUUAUGUGCAACAAUCCCGAGAGGGAUUGAAUGGGGCAUAGAAACGACACGGCCUUAAAACAGAUGACGAUGAUAUCCGAAAAUUGAGGAGUUUUAAGGAAUCGGUGAAACGGCCCCAUUCUGCACGGGUGCAAGCAUUAGCGUUUAGCUGAAUGUCGCCGAAAUUACAGAAGGCGGGCUAUAGCCCCCA
rnacentral:RNase_P_RNA from 16 species